CCUACGGGAGGCUGCAGUGGGGAAUAUUGCACAAUGGGGGAAACCCUGAUGCAGCGACGCCGCGUGAGUGAAGAAGUAAUUCGUUAUGUAAAGCUCUAUCAGCAGGGAAGAAAAUGACGGUACCUGAGUAAGAAGCCCCGGCUAACUACGUGCCAGCAGCCGCGGUAAUACGUAGGGGGCAAGCGUUAUCCGGAUAUACUGGGUGUAACGGGAGCGUAGACGGCAGUGCAAGUCUGGAGUGAAAGGCGGGGGCUCAACCCCCGGACUGCUCUGGAAACUGUACGGCUGGAGUGCAGGAGAGGUAAGUGGAAUUCCUAGUGUAGCGGUGAAAUGCGUAGAGAUUAGGAGGAACACCAGUGGCGAAGGCGGCUUACUGGACUGUAACUGACGUUGAGGCUCGAAAGCGUGGGGAGCAAACAGGAUUAGAUACCCUAGUAGUC
rnacentral:rRNA from 1 species